GCCUUCCUUCCCACAAAAAUAUAGCUAAAAACAAAGAGCUCCUUUAAUGGAGGAUGCUAAAUUAAAGUAAGUAAAAUGAAUAAAUUCAAAGAAAAAGAAUAAAUAUAGUAACAAAAAGAAGGGAAUUAAUUAAUUUUAUUGGAAAUAGCAUAUCAUCAUGUGUAUGCAAUUAAUAUCCUUAAUAUCUAAUCUAGCUUCCCCCUCCUCGUUUUGCUGCUAAUUCUUGUCAACUUUCUAACUAGAUAGCACUGCAGGCGAUUGUGUUAUGGCACUUAUCAUCUUUAUUGUAAUGCAGGGCUCAUCCACUGGUACAAAAUGGCCAGCUCCAAGAAUCCAAUAGAAGUGCAGAUUCUUGUAUGACUUGGUGAAUCCUCUUGCAACCCUCUCUUGACCACAAAAUAAGGGAAUUCUGUCCUUGCUCUGAAAGUUCUGGAGCCCUUCCCACUUCAGCUUCUCAAUCCAUGCUUCUGUCCCCUUUGUUGCACAAAUCAGAUCAAGCUGCCCAUUAUAUAUGGUCACAUUUACCCCUUUAGCUAAAAGCUCAUCAACCUCUUUAAUUCUUGCUUUCAUAAAAUCACCUUGCAUUGCUUGAAAAACAUAAUCUGACUGUUGAUCAAAUCUGUAAAUAACAUAAUCAUAUAUGUUCAAUUCAUUUUUAUAAAUAUCACUUGGACAACAAUUAAUUAAUUAAUUGAGGGGAGAAGAAACUACUUGAUAUCAUCAGGGAUAAUCUUGAGCUUCUUUCUAAUUAUAUCAUUCAUUAAAUCACCCUGUUCAUCAUCACUACCACCUGGAGUAGACCUCUGAGAAAUUAGAUAUUUAGCGUAUUUCUGCAAUGCAAUUUUCUUAGAUAAUUGCACUCUUGAAGCUGUCACUGAGGAUGAAGAACCAGAUUCUGUAUCCUUAGACAAAAAAUUAUAAAAAUCCACAUAGUUGCUUCUUUGUUGAAUGACUUCUUCAAGCUCAGUCCAAGAAUAUGUUGCAUUGAUGUAGAGGCCAUCUCUAAUUUGUUGCUUAAUCUUCUGAGCCAUACUGUCUAUAAUCUCAAAAUCUUUCUUAUCGAGCAGCGACAUAUCUUUCAGAAGAGGACCCCAUGAAAGCACAAAAUCUUCUGGGGAGAUCCAACUAUCACCCAAUGCCACUCCUAAAGUAACCAAAAAUUUCUAAAUCAGAAAGUAACAAUGAAGAUAAAUAAAUAAUAUUCACAAGCAAUUACCUCCAACUUUGAGCUUCAAUGUCCCUGCUUCUAUGGCUUUUAGAACUGACAAUGCAAUAGUUACUGCAAAUUUCCCUCCGUAAGACUCUGCGACAAUGUACAGAGGACUCUUUUGCAGGUUCUUAUUUCUAGUAAAGAUAUUCUGCAACAAUCUAGUUAAAUCAGCUGCUGCCUCCUCAUCAUUUUUCACCAACAGAUUUGUGUCCUCCACAAAACUGAAUCCUGUUCCAACUGGAUUGUCAACAAACAAGAGAUCAGCUACUUGAAGCCAUGUUGAAUUUCGAGGUUUCAAAUUGGAGUCCAAUGGACCAACCUCCUUAAAAUUGCCUAACUCAACACCUGAUGCACCAGGUCCUCCCUGCAGCCAAAGAAUGAUAGGCCAUGGCUUGGAGGGAUUCUCAACUCUGUUAGGACUUUUAUAAAGCCACCAAAACAUGUGUGCUUUGGGUCUGACAGGAGCAUAUCCCCAUUCUUCUAAUCCAUCUUUUGUUUUUGCAGCAAUGGCUAAUCCUCCAUGAAGUAGAGAAUUCAAGAGGAGGAUAGAGAGGGAAAAGAGAAGAAAGUUCUCCAUUUAAAAAAAUAGAAGGAAGACUUGAUACUCACUUUAUUAUUGAAGAAGCUUUAAAGCUAUGAAUCUUUGCUGGUUUUGCGUUGGAUGAAUGCAGCAAAAACAGAAGGCUACAUGAAGCAGAGGAGUUUCGAAACUUAACGACAUUAUAAUUAAGCCAAAUAAACCUGACCACUGCAAAAACGACAAUUGCCAACAAAAAGAGAAUAAAGACUUCGCAAAAUCCAUGACUGUCAGUUCAUUGUGAUCGAUAGAAUCUAUUAAAUACAUAAAUUUUAUGUAUUUAUAUAUUAAAUCAUAGUAGUAAGAAUUUUCUAUAUUAUCAUUCUUUUCUUAUA
rnacentral:misc_RNA from 1 species